AUUGAACGCUGGCGGCAUGCUUUACACAUGCAAGUCGAACGGUAACAGGUUAAGCUGACGAGUGGCGAACGGGUGAGUAAUGCAUCGGAACGUGCCCGGUCGUGGGGGAUAACGCAGCGAAAGCUGCGCUAAUACCGCAUACGAUCUGAGGAUGAAAGCGGGGGACCGGAAGGCCUCGCGCGAUCGGAGCGGGCGAUGUCAGAUUAGGUAGUUGGUGGGGUAAAGGCUCACCAAGCCGACGAUCUGUAGCUGGUCUGAGAGGACGACCAGCCACACUGGGACUGAGACACGGCCCAGACUCCUACGGGAGGCAGCAGUGGGGAAUUUUGGACAAUGGGCGCAAGCCUGAUCCAGCAAUGCCGCGUGCAGGAAGAAGGCCUUCGGGUUGUAAACUGCUUUUGUACGGAGCGAAAAGGCUCCCUCUAAUACAGGGGGCUCAUGACGGUACCGUAAGAAUAAGCACCGGCUAACUACGUGCCAGCCGCCGCAGUAA
rnacentral:rRNA from 1 species